AUCAAAAACUAACCUCACACUCUGUAGUUCAUAUUAUCAUGCAACUUAUAUCAAUUUUAAUUUCUUCAUUUCGGUGCGACAAUGUUGUUAAGAGUGAUGGUAUAUGAAUGAUAGAAAGUUGGUUAAAUAAUAGAUAAUAACUAUUUGGAUUGAUCCCGUCACACAAUUCAAAAUUAAACUGGCCCUUUACAUGUCCGCGCACUCCUACACAUGGAAGAUUUGGAGGCAAUUUUCAUAGAGUAGUUAGUGUACGAAACUUAAAUUCUGGAAUAUCGGAAGGCCGCCGAUUGGCAUCUUGAAGGUACCACUUAACCAAUAUAACUUCCAAUACGUCAAUAGGGAAUUAAUCGAUAUGGCGGACGAGAUUCAACAGCGCUAACGAGCACUUUCUAGAUACCUCGUGUUAAUAAAAGUUGCAUAGACCGUGUGAUGCGUGAUCGUGUUAUUAACUUUGUUGGGUUAGCAAGAGCUAGUGAUGUUAUAGAUUUUAUAUGAAAUUACUUUUUUCCUUUAGAUAAUUCAGCUUUUGCUAAAGGUUGGACAGAGGCAUCAUUGGCGUAAAAAACGAAGCAUGUGGUCUUGUGUCGUGACCUCAUGAAGUACUUGGCUUUCGAUUAUCAAGGCUGGACAGCGUCGGUAGUAAGGGAACUAUGGAAAUACGAAGAAACAUUAUUUAUUGUCAAAUGCCGUAAGAAGUGAGGCUAAUUACUUCUCCGGGCGAUGAGAGUAUCUUGCUUGUAUGAGCCUUUCCGACAUCGAGGAUCGAUUUCAGCAUCAGUCAUUCAAUGCGUCUUCAUCGCUGCCUACCGCGUCAUACGGGUAGACUAAAUGAAUCAGCUUUAAACCAGGUCAGCUCGAUGAGGAUAAACUGACCCUUUCAAGUUAAACCUGCCUUCGAUGCUGACUAGCCCGCGAAAUUCGAAUUGACCAGAAGCGAAACCGUCUUUCUUCUCAAACAGACAUUAUAACAACCCGGAGCAUCAUUUUAUAUCAGAAAAAUUUCUGCAGCAGCUUCCACCCGCCUCAACUCUGCCGUUAGUAGCAUUGCUUUCAAAUCGUCCUAGCUGAUUGAACCCCUCGCGACAGAACGGCCGACCGUCAGCCGUUGCAGACAGGACGGGACGAAGAUUCCGGACUUUUGAGGCGGGGGUAGUACUCC